ensembl:lncRNA
CUGGCAACGCAUCUGUAUCUGUGUAUGCUUGUAUGUUUUCUCUUUUUUGAGAAUCUGAAUCAAAAGAUUCACGAACCCGCUCCGAAAGUUCCAAUUUGAAUCAAGUGAUUUGCGACACCUGCUCCGAAGAUCCGAUUUGAAUCAAAUGGUUCGCGAUCCGAAAUCCUGAUCAAAAUCAAAAGAUUCACAAUCUGAAGUCCAGCAAACCAUUAUUCAGAUCUGAAUCAAAAAAAAAACUGUGAUUCUGCUCCAAAGAAGUUCCAGUCUAAAUAAUAAGCUUUUAAGUUCCUAUUUGAAUCAAAAGAUUCGCAAUAAGCACUCUGAAGUCGCGAUCUAAAUCAAAUGAAUCACGAUACAUGCUUUGAAGUUCUGAUCUAAACCAAGUGAUUCCAGAUAUUCGAACCGAUUCGAGCACUUCAAAACAGCGAAUCAUUUUGUGACGAGUGGUUCAGAGUUUCAAAAAGCUCCGUUUCACCCAUCAAUAACUUACGUGCUUAAUGCAGUAUUUGCUAGUGAAUAGCUUAAAACAAAUGACUGAAGUCACGAGUUUGAGUUUGAAUCAAUCGGAGUGGUUCCAGCGGAAAUGACUCACUCAGUUGAAUCGGUUUGUCUGUUCCUCCGCUUUUCGCGCGUUCAGCCAUGUUUAUGCUACACCGUCAGUACUACUGCUGGCUUAAAGCGCUAGUUUUAUUCGAUUAAUUGAAAUAAGCAAAAAAGUAUGGUGUUUACAAAUAACAUCUAUAUUUCCAUUCUGAAGAUAACUGCUUUCCACGUCGAAGACAUCCAACACAAAUCAUUUUCAGAUUUCCUGUGAGUGAGAUCAUUUCCUGUUGUGCUGUUGUUGCAGUCAUGUUGAAGAAGUACAUGUUGUAGUUAAUGCCAUCUCUAUCCAUCCGUCUUUGUUUGUUCAUGGGGCAUCGUCAUUUUACCUUUUCUUCAUUAAAAUUACCUGCCAAGUACAACACAUCGCCUGUUCAUUGGAGGAAAACUUUUUGAAGGAACGAGUUUAGCUUGCUGUUUCAUGUUAGAUGAGAACAGUAUAUAUAUUGUAAUAAAUAGUUGAGAAAUGUCUGUUGUAUGUGAUUG